rnacentral:rRNA from 1 species
CGUAGGGGGCAAACGUUGUCCGGAUUUACUGGGUGUAAAGGGUGCUCAGGCGGUCUUGUAAGUUAGAAGUGAAAUCCUAGGGCUCAACUCUGGAACUGCUUUUAAUACUGCAAGGCUUGAAUAUGGAAGAGGAGGGUGGAAUUUCUGGUGUAGCAGUGAAAUGCGUAGAUAUCAGAAAGAACACCAGUGGCGAAGGCGGCCCUCUGGUCCAUUAUUGACGCUAAAGCACGAAAGCGUGGGGAGCAAACAGGAUUAGAUACCCUGGUAGUCCACGCCUUAAACGAUGAAUACUAGACGUUGGGGUCAAACUCAGUGUCGCAGCUAACGCAUUAAGUAUUCCACCUGGGGAGUACGAUCGCAAGGUUG